rnacentral:rRNA from 1 species
UACGGAAGGGGCAAGCGUUGUUCGGAAUCAUUGGGCGUAAAGGGCGCGCAGGUGGCUCUGUAUGUCUGCCGUGAAAGCAUACAGCUCAACUGUAUUGUGUCGGUAGAAACUGCAGGACUUGAGGCUGGGAGGGGCUGGUGGAAUUCCCUGUGUAGCGGUGAAAUGCGUAGAGAUGGGGGAGAACACUCGUGGCGAAGGCGGCCAGCUAGACCAGUUCUGACACUGAGGCGCGACAGCGUGGGGGAGCAAACAGG